UACGUAGGGUGCGAGCGUUGUCCGGAAUUAUUGGGCGUAAAGAGCUUGUAGGCGGUCUGUCGCGUCUGCUGUGAAAAUCCGGGGCUCAACCCCGGACUUGCAGUGGGUACGGGCAGGCUAGAGUGUGGUAGGGGAGACGUGGAAUUCCUGGUGUAGCGGUGAAAUGCGCAGAUAUCAGGAGGAACACCGAUGGCGAAGGCAGGUCUCUGGGCCAUUACUGACGCUGAGAAGCGAAAGCAUGGGGAGCGAACAGG
rnacentral:rRNA from 1 species